GACACCUCCUAAGUGGUAAGGCAGCCUGGGUGCGCGCUGCUCAGCACCCAUGUUAACUGUCUGGAUCGCCCACUCAAUCCCUAUGCUGUUCUACAUUGUUGCUCAGAGGAGAGGCUGGGCCUUAUGUUCCUGGAUCCCUGGAAUAUGAGGCAGCACAAAUCAGGACUCCUCAGAGGCCUUCCUCAUGAAUACGCCGAUAUUAAACAGGGAAAAUAUCCUUCCUCUGCUCUGAUUUUAGGCUCCAGUAGUCACACAAGUGGACUUGUUUCCUUUUACAGCCAUCAAAUUGCACAUGUCCAUCCCUUCUCCCGCGCUCCAGCCUGUCAUGCACUUGUUGCAACCAGCCCACUGCUCUCAAGGACUUCCAACCCCUUUAUGCUUCUAGGGAGUUUCAUAACCGCAAGGCUUUUGAGGGGAUAAAGAGAACUGGAAGACAGGUUAUCUGCCUUUAAGAAAAAGUAUUUUACAGAUUAAAACAAACUAACAGCAGAAAGAGAGCAUGAAAAAUACAGCUAGCAAUGUACAGCAUGACACUCACCGUGUGAGUGCUACAGGAGUUGAGAAUUCUCUCCUUCACAAUCAAACUCUAUAUGCCUAGUGUUUGGCAAAUAGUAGAUACUGAAUAAGUAUGUUCAUCAAAUAGCAUUCAUUCAGCAAGUAAAUAAAUGAAUAAAUGGGCUGUUAAACAAAUGAACAUAUCAGUGAGAAGAGCAGGGAGCUCAUCUUGAGUGAUCCAGGAAACUUCUUUGUGCAGAAAGGCUUUAAAGUAUGUCCAGAAUGAGAAGAAAAGGAGAGAACAUGUUUCCAGAGCCACUAUGCAUUCUUCUCCUGUGACUCCCCUCCACUGCCUAGAAGAGUAAAGAGAAUCACUAAUUCUUCGUCACAAUUUCCGUUAAAAGAUGGGAUCUGUUUUCUCCUUUUACAUCUGAGAUGGGCAGUACUGAGAUGGGCAGUACUGAGAUGGGCAGUACUGCUUUGACCCUCAGAGUACAGCAGAAGUGACACAGUUCCAGUUUAGGCCUAAACUUUGGAAGGACUGAUAACUUUUGUCUUGGUCACUUAGAGCUAUGAACUGACGUUCUGACUACUGGUUUGGAGAGACCAUGUGAGGAAGUGCCAAGACUGCGUGGAGAGGAAGGGGAGCCCAGAUGAGCCUUCUAACUGUUCCCAUCAAGGUGCCAGGCAUGUGAGUAAAGCCAACCUGGAUGCUGCAGACAACAGAGCCAUCAUGCUGUGAAGAGCCCAAGCCAUGUGGAAAUUCUAUCUGAGGUUGGACCACUUAACAGCCUCCAUUGAGCAGCAACUAUCAGCCCUGUGAGUGCGCCAUUGCAGAUGACUAACUCUCUAGAGCCUUCAGAAAACUGCAGCCCCAGCCAAUAUCUGACUGCAAGAGAGCCCAAGCAAGAACUGCCUCGUGGAGCCCAGUCAACACACAGAACUGGGAGCCACGAUGAUCAUUGACUCUUCUAAGCCACUGAGCUUUGAGAUGCGAAGGGCCACAUCCCUCCAUCCCUCUACUGAAGCUGACAUGUCGUCAUUUAGUGAUGCCCCAGUUUACCCACCUGAAAAGUGAGAGACACAACCAACCAUCUGCCCUGCUUACUUGAAUGAGUUGAUAAAAAGAACAAAACUAUAGCGAACAUAGGAAAGCAGUUUCUAGGCUCUAUAGCGUACCAUGUAUACAUAGUGUCCUGGGUUGAGUUGACUGGUGGAUUAAAAAACUCUCACAGUGAAAGCAUAUUGGUUGUUACAUAGGGCUGGGGCAAGGGGCAAUGGGAGUGUUGCAGUGAAGUUGGCUAAGGCGUGUAAAGCUUCUUUCUGAGGCAAUGAAAAUGUUCUAAA